GGACCGGUUAGCUCAGUGGGUUGAGCGCGGUGCUGAGAACAACGACAGCACCAAGGUUGCGGGUUCGAUUCCCGCUCGGUCCC
rnacentral:tRNA from 1 species